UGGAAUAUGUGAUAAUUCCCAACCUCCCCUGCUGUCCCAGCUCUCUGCAGAGCUGGGUUGGAUUGGAUUUGCACUCCAGCACUGGAAAUACGAGGUGACAACGUGACAUUCCAGGUGACAAUGUGACAUUCCAGGUGACAAUGUGACAUUCCAGGUGCAGAUUCACAUUUGCUCACCUGUGUCUGGCCACAACACAUCCCCACUCCCAGGCAGUCACAUCCAUGGAGUAUGUGACUAUUCCCAAUCUCCCCUGCUGUCUCAGCUCUCCACAGAGCUGGGUUGGAUUGGAUUUGCACUCCAGCACUGGAAAUGCGAGGUGACAACGUGACAUUCCAGGUGACAAUGUGACAUUGGAGGUGCAGCAGCACAGCUGACCCUGUGGAUGUGGUGGGUUGACACUGGAUGGAUCCUGGGUGCCCUCCAGAGAGACAUUCCUCCAUGAACUUCCCACCCUGAGUCCUUCCCACAGGCUGCAGUCCUCCAUGAACUUCUCCAGUAUGGGUCCUUCCCACAGGGUCAGUCCUUCAGGAACAGGAUGCUCCAGCCUGGAUCUCUUCCACAGGAUCAUGAGUCCUGCCAGCAAACACGCUCCAGUGUGGGUUCCUCUCUGCAUGGACACACAAAUCCUGCCAGGAUCCUGCUCCAGUGUGGGUUCCCCUCUGCAUGGACACACAAAUCCUGCCAGGAUCCUGCUCCAGUGCGGGUUCCCCUCUGCAUGGACACACAAAUCCUGCCAGGAUCCUGCUCCAGCGUGGGUUCCUCUCUGCAUGGACACACAAAUCCUGCCAGGAUCCUGCUCCAGUGUGGGUUCCUCUCUGCAUGGACACACA